CCGCACUGCAAGUGAGGGGGAUUGUUUGGCUUUGACUUUCAAAAAUCGCCGGAGAAGAAUGUUCUUUGUCUCGGGCUGUUUGAAAGGAGCUGGAAGCUGUAGAGUUUUCCAUGUAACAUUUUCAGGCUGAUGUUGAGCACAGGUACCAAAAACCGUGAAGAGUGCAACCACAGAUGAGGGGGGACUACUGUUCAUGAGCCAAGUCAGCUGUCAGAAGAGUUCCAAAUCUACCAGGAAGGAGCCUGUCUCAGAAGCCCUGCAGAGCUCAGUCAUUGGCUGGGAUGCUGGAAGAUGUCAGGUGGCGUAGAGCGAGUGACCACCUGCAGACCAACAGAGGAGGCCUCAGAAUAAAACCUACCUUGCUGGCACCAGGAUCUUGGACUUUCCAGCCU